UACGUAGGGUGCAAGCGUUAAUCGGAAUUACUGGGCGUAAAGCGUGCGCAGGCGGUGAUGUAAGCCAGGUGUGAAAUCCCCGGGCUCAACCUGGGAACUGCAUUUGUGACUGCAUUGCUGGAGUGCGGCAGAGGGGGAUGGAAUUCCGCGUGUAGCAGUGAAAUGCGUAGAGAUGCGGAGGAACACCGAUGGCGAAGGCAGCCCCCUGGGACAACACUGACGCUCAUGCACGAAAGCGUGGGGAGCAAACAGG
rnacentral:rRNA from 1 species